rnacentral:ncRNA from 1 species
AGGUGUUCAGUCGAGUCCAGCCUGCCUUAGGAAUCUUGCAUUUAAAAGGGAAAAAACCAGCAAUAAUUGAAAGACUCCAGAGGGUAAAACAUUCUUGAACCGUAAUAUGGCGACUGACGGCAAUAUUAGAGAGUUUAGAGACAUCAGCAAGAGUCUCAAGAAGAGUUAUUUUUUAACAGCUCAUUUAUCCUGGAAAUGACUUAGUUAGAGAUAGGAUCUAUCAGCUGGAAGAGCACCGCACGUUGCGUGAUGUUUGGUGCAUCCCCGUCGGCUCUUGAAAAUCCAGAGAAUCGAGUGCCUCCCAUACCCUGGUGUACUCAUAACUACAUCAACU